rnacentral:lncRNA from 1 species
CAUAGCAAGUUAAAUGGCACUGUCAAAGCUGAGACUGGAAACCUGUGAUCAGUGGGAGGUACAUCUCCAUCUUACAGCACACAAGGCGGGUAAUGCUGGGGCUGAAUAUGUUAUAGAGUCCACUGGUGUCUUCACUACCUUAUAAGAGGCUGGGACUCACUUGUAGGAUAGACCCCAAGGUAUCAUCAUGUCUACCACUUCUGUGGUUGCUGCCAUGUUUGUGGUGGCAGUGAGUCAUAAGAUAUAUGACCACUCCUUCAAGAUUGGCAGCAGUGCCUCCUGCACCAGCAAACUCAUGGCCACCCUGGCCAAGGUCACCGUAGCAUUGAUGUUGUGGAGAGAUUAGUGACCACAGUCCAUGUUAUUACUGCCAUACAAAAACUUUAGAUAGCUCCAAUGGAAAAUUGGCAUGAUGGCUAGGGUUCCACCCAGAGCAUCAUCCCUGCAUUCGCUGGCACUGCCAAGGCUGUGGGAGGGUCAUCCCUGAGCUGAACAGAAAGUUCACUGACAUGACCUUCCAAGUACCCACCCAAAAUGUGAGAUCUGACUUGACCACUGGAGAAAGAUGAAAAAUAUAACAGCAUC